AUGGCACUGGAUGUCUGCGGAGGCUUGUGUCUAGAAGGAAUGAAAAGAUAUGCCAGUAACAGCAGUGUCUCCUCAUUCUCAAUGCUCAGGCCUCAUGUGGCACCUGUUUUGCACGGAGACAAGCACAUGCAGAAAAAAGUUGUAAAAGUGGAAGUAAACGUGGUUUCAGAAGAGAAUUGAGAAAAUCUUAGGUAAGACUCUGGUAUAAGACAUUGUGGGAAUUAAACACCCUACUAGAGAUCUAGGGGAAAGCACCAAGAGCAAGUCAAAUACUAGAAUAGGAGAUAGAAUCCCUUUUCCUGGGGAGGUUCAAGAAUCCAAAACAGCCAUAUUCAGGAUGCAGUUUCAGGUAUCAGCAUCAGAACUAGGUCCAAAUCCAAGAUCUGGUUGUAGAUCAGGCUACACAGAGCAGAAGCUUUAGAGUCAGUCAUGGAACCAGUACCAAUGGAAUGGAAAUAGGAAUAGUUAAUUACUGUCUUUAGGAAAUGGGGCUUUUGAAAUGGGCCAAGAGAGUCAGGCAGGAUUGACUGGUUAUAGUAUUGGCUUGGCCUUCCUCAGGCCCAGAAGACCUGGACAGAAGUGAUUAGCCAUGGAGACUAUAACUUCCACAUGGAAAAUACUUAGAGAGAAUUUAGUUUGGUUCAGAAGAACUCCAUAUUCUCCUUUAUCAACUAUACUUGAAGUUGAGUUGAUGGCAGCAGAAGUGUGAUUUCAAACUCCCUUUACUAGUGAAGAGAAAGCAUUCCCUAUUUCCUCUACUGAGUUAGGAUUGUUUAUGGGACCCUAUGGGGCAGCCUGUGGAUUAUUCCAUAUUCAUUGUGGACAGUGGGGAUGGUCUGGGAUUUGUCAUAGACUGAUAUUGGAGAAUUGGAAAGGCUAAGGAAAGAUAUUUCAGUUUUAUAAUGAAGGUCCAAAAUUAAUCUGGAGGCCAGAGGGACCCAGAAAAGAAAAUAAAAAUGAGAAUUACUAAUGAGUGGAUCUUUGCCAUUGGUAAAAAUCUGGGUCACUUAUAGCUGUAUUUUUCCAUCUGUGCUUUUGUCUGUGGGCUUUGAUAGCAUAGUUGUCUAAUAAGUGUUUCAGCAUCUGAAUCUGACAAUAGAUAUCAUUCCAGAAUACAAUUGUUAUGUAACAAAGAUUCUGUAUUCUGGAGAAAAAAGUCAAUCAACACAAUUUUAAGCUUUCUAUGUCUUUUGUUUGCAGGGAUUCAGGCAUAAACAAGCAUUUGUCAUUCGAUUCUUCUAGUGCAUUUCCAGCAUAGUGUGCCUUGGGCAUGACACAUCAGGGUCUGAUGUUUAUCUUUUAUUACCUGCCAGACCUCUCUGGAAAAGCCUCCAUGGAAUUCAUCAUCUGCAGUCUUUGUUGUAGGUACACAUAUAAAUACAUGUUGAACGCAUUCGUUGAGGAUAUUGUGGUUUCUAAAGCUGAA
rnacentral:lncRNA from 1 species